rnacentral:lncRNA from 1 species
AUCAUGAUGGAUUCUUUCAACUUAUCAUCUCCCUCUCUAUUCUCCAGGGUGGCGGAUCUUCAUCAAAGUAACGCCUGGAAUCAGCCCCCCAUCUUGAUUCUCUCCCUUUUCAUCAUUAAUUUCUUGCUGGUUUUUUGUUUGGUAAGAUCUUUGAUGGCCCUCUUGCUUAUUUAUUUAUUUAUUUAUUUUGCGUUUUUUAAUUAUGGGUAUGAUUUAUUGAAUCUCAUUGCUUUCAACAUCUUAUUUGUGUUAACUAACGCUGUAGUGUGAACUUUUGACCUGGUUUGUUAAUACCUAGAUGCCAGAUUUUAUGUUUCUGAUGGGUUUUGUUUGUUGAUUUCUUUAUUGCCGGAUGGGUCGAUGUUUUGUCGGGCUGGAAUUUUUUUACUAACAUGUUAAAAGAUUUUAUCUUUUUGUUGAAAUCAAUGUUACUGGCUGGCCCUGAUGUUGAAUUUUGAGUGUUUUUUUUUGGGGGGGUGGUUUUGUUGAUGUGUUUUGGAUUUCUGUUUCUAUGAUUUCAAAUUUCACUGCAUGCUUUGUGAGUUAGUGAGUUUGAAUUUUUUAUUUUUUAAUUUCUCAUAUGUUGGCUUGUGCCAAUUGGUUGUUUUACCAUGUUGAGUAGCUUUUAUGCUUGUGUACUAGAUCAAACUUUGGGGUUAUUGAGGAAGGAACGGUGCACAGGAUCCAAAUGUAGUGGAAGAGCUCAUUAGCUUGUGUCUUAUAAACUGAGCCGCGUCGAUUUUUCUGAUAAGUUACGAGGGAAGCCCUAGUUCAGGAUUUGAAACUCUAGGGUUUUGUUUUCGGGUAAUGGAACAUCUUCCAGUUGAAGUUGUUGGGAACAUUUUGUCACGGCUAGGAGGCGCUCGAGAUGUGGUGAUAGCUUCUGCAACAUGUCGGAAGUGGCGAGAAGCUUGUCGUAAACACCUUCACACCCUUUCAUUCAAUUCCAAUGAUUCGCAUGUUUAUCAUGAUCUCUUGACUAGUCGGCUAGAGAUACUGAUAACUCAAACAAUAUUCCAAACCACUGGAUUACAAGGCUUGUCAAUUUUGAUGGAUGAUGUUGAUGAUUUUUCUGCUUCAACAGUUAUUGCUUGGCUCAUGUACACCAGGGAAACCUUGCAUCGAUUGAUUUAUAAUGUUCGGACUACUCCGAAUGUUAAUAUUCUUGAGAUUUGUGGCAGGCAGAAGCUGGAAACUUUGGAACUGUCCCAUAACUCGAUAACAGGGGUUGAACCCAAUUUUCAGAGAUUCCCCUGUUUAAAAUCCCUUUCUUUGAGUUAUGUCAGUAUCUCAGCAUUGGAUCUCAAUCUUUUACUCACUGCUUGCCCAAAGAUUGAGACCUUGGGGCUUGUUAAUCCAGAGAUUGCAAUAUCUGAUGCACAGGUGACUGUUGAACUGAGCAGCCCUACAUUAAAGAGUGUUUAUGUCGAAGCAAUUAGUUUGGACAAGUUUAUAUUGGAAGCGGAUAGCAUUGAAAGCUUGCACUUGAAGGAUUGUGCUCUUGAGCUAUUUGAACUCAUUGGAAAGGGUACUUUGAAGCAUUUCAAAAUUGAUGACGUGAGUGUUAUUCAACUUUAUAUUGGCGAGACUGUUGAUAAUCUUGAGAGCAUAGAUGUCAGCAACUUCACUAUUAUUUGGCCAAAGUUCUACCAAAUGAUCUCAAAAUCAUCCAAGUUAAGGAAACUUCGUCUUUGGGACGUGGUCUUUGAUGAUGAGGAUGAGAUUGUGGAUUUAGAAAAUAUUGCUGUUUGUUUCCCGCAUCUCAGCCACCUUGCAUUAAGUUAUGACCUGAGAGAUGGAGUGGUUAACUAUGGUCUACAAGGUUCUUCCCACUUGGAAAAUGUUAUUACCUUGGAGCUCGGGUGGACUGUAAUUAAUGAUCUCUUUUCUCUUUGGGUGGAGGGACUGCUAAAACUGUGUCCAAAUCUCAAGAAGUUGGUGAUUCAUGGUGUUGUUUCAGAGGCCAAAAGUCACGAAGAAUGCCAAAUGUUGGCCAAUUUUACCUCAUCCAUAGUUCAGCUCAUGAGAACAUACAUUCAUGUAGAUGUGCAGUUCGAUUAUGAAUAGAAAUCUCGUGAUUACUUUUCGUCCAUGUUCACGUUUGACUUCUAAACGAGUUACUUACAACAUACGCCAGGUAAGAUUCGCAGCAUUUAUAACCUGAGCACGAGCAUCCCUUUCCAUGUCCUGUAAAUGAUAUCUGAAAUCUUCCUUAUAAUUGCAACUUGCUUUUGCAACAGAAACAUGUUUUCUUUUCACUUUGUUUUCAUUUUACUCAAUUGCUGUAGACAAGCUUUUCUUUUCGUCUGAUUGAAAAGUUUGCUCUGCCUUUCUUGCUCACCCCCCCCCUCCCCUCUCCCACAUACACAGAUAAACAGUGCAGCUUGGUUUUAUUUGACCGAUGGUUUUCCGCGUCCCUUUGUGAGUUGUUUUUUUUUAACUGUAUUCCCUGUCCUUGAUGGAGUACUGGUGCCGACGUUUCUAUAUCGGGAAAAUAUGGAAAUGAUAGUAAAAUCAUUGGUGUAACAAGGAUAGCAGUUUUUUUGUCAAUAAAAUUUGCAAGGAGCGAGUGAUGUCUGACUCUGACAUAACUACAAAUUCUAAACUGAACGAUUUAUCUUUUUAUGAAUCUCUAUAAUUCUAAGAGACUCCCUUGCCAGGGAAAAAAUGAUGUGGUUUUAAAUUAUGGCUAUCAGAGUUUUUGGGAUCAAUAGGCAAAUUUUUAUCUGCAUAAUUUAACUGCACCUCCCUGCUGCUCGUGUGACGGCAGCUUAACUGUUUUUAAGGAUGUUGAUCCGUGUGAUCUGGCUGAGGUCUAGAUGCCAAUAUACACGAGUGCCUACAGACAUACCUACAUAGUACAUACCAUGUAUAUAGGAAACGUUCCAAGGUAGAUAUCAAGUAAUCCCACAACGUUUGGUCUUAUUGGUGAAAUACCUGGAAUUUCUUUCAGUGAUGAAAUAAGAAUGGCCCGCUGAGGAUCGAUCUUACAGCAGAAACAUGCAGCUCGUCAUCCUUUAUAUGGGAGAGAAAUUACCCGAGGAUGGAGUGUCCAUGGCCCAUUGAAGCGACGACCAGACCAUUCAACCCCUUGAUCUGAUGAAUUGCAAACAUCACGAGUGUUCCUGUAACACAUGAAUGGCCGGAGAAAUCUGUGGCCAUAACAGAGCUAUGCUGGUUUUGGAUGAAAAGCACUUGUCACGCACACCUACAAUUUAUUAAAUUCCUUGGAAAAUAUUCAAUUGUUGCAGGCUAGCAUGAUGUAAGGCUCAUUUUUUAUGUCAAUCGGAUUAAAAGGGAGCAGCUUUUGUAGGAUAUGGCCGCGAUCCUUGAAAGAUUACUGAAACAAGACGUCCGAUAAUUUCAGCUUAAGAGAAGAUUCCCAAGUACCAGAUUAUAUUACAUGGUGCUGUUGCUUUUUUGUAAAUCCUUGAAGGAGAACUCGUACAAAUGUUCAAUCUCGAGUGAAAUUAUCUUUGUUUAGUUUUGCUCUAUUGGUGGGGUUGAGGCUGAAACUGUGCCCCCAGCUCUUUUCAUGGGAAUAACGUCAGCUGACCAGGAGGAAAUAAAGCCCAGUGUAACAUUGGAAGAUAAAAAAGACGAAGAUUCUAUCUAUUUUGCUUUGAAAGGACAAGAAAUUAUUAUUUGGUUAAAUUAUUUUAUAUAUUUAUGUUUUUUUUUAUUUGUUUUAUGGUACACU